GCUCCAGACUCCUACGGGAGGCAGCAGUGGGGAAUAUUGCACAAUGGGGGAAACCCUGAUGCAGCGACGCCGCGUGAGUGAAGAAGUAUUUCGGUAUGUAAAGCUCUAUCAGCAGGGAAGAAAAUGACGGUACCUGACUAAGAAGCCCCGGCUAACUACGUGCCAGCAGCCGCGGUAAUACGUAGGGGGCAAGCGUUAUCCGGAUUUACUGGGUGUAAAGGGAGCGUAGACGGCGAUGCAAGCCAGAUGUGAAAGCCCGGGGCUCAACCCCGGGACUGCAUUUGGAACUGUAUAGCUAGAGUGUCGGAGAGGCAGGCGGAAUUCCUAGUGUAGCGGUGAAAUGCGUAGAUAUUAGGAGGAACACCAGUGGUGAAGGCGGCCUGCUGGACGAUGACUGACGUUGAGGCUCGAAAGCGUGGGGAGCAAACAGGAUUAGAUACCCUUGUAA
rnacentral:rRNA from 1 species